UCCCUGGUGGCUUAGAGGGUAAAGCAUCUGUCUGCAAUGCAGGAGACCCUGGUUCAAUCCCUGAGUUGGGAA
rnacentral:tRNA from 1 species